AGCUGAUAUCAGACCUCUAGGUGUACCCCUCCUGUCUCCCCUGAAGACGACCUCUGACCCAUCCUGACCUCUGAACCUGACUACCUUGUCCCUGCAGUCCAAGGUAGCACCAUGGGUAGAUAACCAGUCCAUCCCUAGAAUGACGUCAAAAUCUGUCAAGUCUAGAACCACAAGGUCGGCGGAAAGGCAUCUUCCCUCAACAAA
rnacentral:lncRNA from 1 species